GCCUCUAAACCAGAACAGCUGAGCUAGUGAGUGUGCGUCUACUUAGAGGAACUGUUUUUAGGACAUUUACUUUGUUUUGAAAGCAUUGGUACACUGCCUUCUUCUAAAAAGUACAAUGCCUAUUUCUCGCCACCCUCGAAAAAGUUUGCUCAAGUCAGCACAGAUCUAGAAAUUACUCAAUCAAAUGUAUUUUUGGACAUUUCAUGGGGAUAUGACGUCACUGGCAGGCAACACAAUGACACUAGAAACAUGGUCUGCGUCACAAGAUAAAAUUGCUUAUUUCUCUGGAUUUAAACAUUCUUCGAAACAUUUGCGAUAAUGUUUCUUGGAAAGAAGACGUGUGUCUUUGGAAGACUUCAGUUCAUUAGCCGCAGCACAGCGAUUCACAUCUGAUGUAAACUGUGGUAAACAGUACAAUUCAAAUGAGUUCAAAUGAGUGUGUUUAUUAGUAUGUUAAUAAAUUUAAAAUGAUUUUAAAUACAAAUACCAGUUUACAACAUCCAGCAGCACAAUAAACUGUUUUGCACAGCUAAAUAAGGCUAAAUGGAGAUUGCAGACAUUGCCUCGAACACUUAAGUUCAUGCCAGCUCUUUCAUUAACAAUAAGAUGGAAAGAUAACAAACGAAUAGUUUCCAUGGAUCUAGUACUCAAACACCACACACGUAUGAUGCCUGCUGGUCGAAGUGUGUCAAUCUGCAAACAACAACUGAACCCCAUCUGCGAACAACUCUUUAAAUUUCACUUUUUUCUACUCGAUCCACCAGAACAAGAUAAGAUGAACAAACAUUCAAAGUAUGAUUAACAAACACAGAAACAGAAAAUGUCAUGACCCCUGUCUCAUAACCAAAAAACAAAUGUUGAGAGGUAGCCAAGGUAGCAAGGCAUCAAGGCACUUCCGAAUCCAAAGUUAGCUUCACUUCCUGCCUAAUAGGAUUCCUUCAUUGGGUUAAUUUUUGAAGGCAGCAUAUUUUAGAUUUACCCUUCACCACUUUUGAUAUCCCACAAUCCAGUGUGUUCCUUUCCAGGAUGGUCGGGCACAAAAAUAAAAGUAGCAUCUGAAAGUUGCAUUUGGUGGUUUUGUAAAUUUAUGUUUAUGACCAACUUUUUGCACUUUUGAUGUUAUCUCUAGCGAGAAAUGAGUAUUAAAUUAAAUAUUCACUUGGUUAUCACCAAAGCUUGUUUGAUUUUGUCAUAGAUCAUAUCAGAACCACAAGCGUGUCAGAAAUCUGUUUUGUGAUGUGACUUUGUGCGCAAAUGUUGCUUGAGAAGUCAUUGCCUGAUAAGGCAGCGGGGCAACGAGUCAGCUGCCUCUGUUUUCAGAUGCAGCGACAGCUUUCUAAAACCACAGCCGCACUUGUGCGAGACUCAAGCACAGCUGUCAAGUCCUCUAUCUAUCACAUGAUUUCAUAGAGAAACAAUGGAAAAGUAGCACAACUGAAUGCAAAAACUAGAGUUCUUUCAAGAGUUCUGCUCUAAACGUGUUAGAGAUCUUUUUGUGUGUGUGUAAUGAACUGAAAUGAAAACUCUUCUAUGCUUUAAUACUGAUAUGUCAAAACACUAUUGGUAGUUAUCUUUUAUAUACUAUAAUCUUUACAAUAACUCAAUCAGAAAAACACAAAUACUAUUGGCACAAAGUUCAUGAUUGCAUCUCUCACCUAUUUGUGAAGGUUUUUUUUUUUUUUUUUUUUUUUAUGGUAUGAUGUGAGGAUAAAGCAGUAAACUACAAUUAACACCACAAUAACUGUGAAUAAAUUAA